rnacentral:rRNA from 1 species
UACGUAGGGGGCAAGCGUUGUCCGGAUUUAUUGGGCGUAAAGCGCUCGCAGGUGGUUCAUUGCGUCGUGCGUGAAAGCCCCCGGCUCAACUGGGGAGGGUCAUUCGAUACUGAUCGACUCGAAGGCAGGAGAGGGUAGUGGAAUUCCCGGUGUAGUGGUGAAAUGCGUAGAUAUCGGGAGGAACACCAGUGGCGAAGGCGACUACCUGGCCUGUUCUUGACGCUGAGGCGCGAAAGCUAGGGGAGCAAACGGG